rnacentral:rRNA from 1 species
UACGGGGGGAGCAAGCGUUGUUCGGAUUUACUGGGCGUAAAGGGCGCGUAGGCGGCCACCGCAAGUCAGUUGUGAAAGCUCUGGGCUUAACCCAGAAAGGUCAGCUGAUACUGCGGGGCUAGAGUGCAGAAGGGGCAACUGGAAUUCUCGGUGUAGCGGUGAAAUGCGUAGAUAUCGAGAGGAACACCUGCGGCGAAGGCGGGUUGCUGGGCUGACACUGACGCUGAGGCGCGAAAGCUAGGGGAGCGAACGGG